UGUCAUGCGAAAGUAUAAAAUAUUAUGGAAACUCUUUCAUCUGAUGCAAUCCAUAAAAUUCUGCACCGUUUCUAUUAUACAUCACAUGAGAGCCUGGCGCAGCUGUUUUGAUGAUAUCUUCAGGCAAUGCAGCUUAAUAUGCCAUUUUCACAUGAAGUACAUUUAUUGUGGAAUAUCUAAAAAGAAAAUUAGAACGUUUAAUAGGAC
rnacentral:lncRNA from 1 species